GGGAGCUUGCUCCUUGAUUCAGCGGCGGACGGGUGAGUAAUGCCUAGGAAUCUGCCUGGUAGUGGGGGACAACGUUUCGAAAGGAACGCUAAUACCGCAUACGUCCUACGGGAGAAAGCAGGGGACCUUCGGGCCUUGCGCUAUCAGAUGAGCCUAGGUCGGAUUAGCUAGUUGGUGGGGUAAUGGCUCACCAAGGCGACGAUCCGUAACUGGUCUGAGAGGAUGAUCAGUCACACUGGAACUGAGACACGGUCCAGACUCCUACGGGAGGCAGCAGUGGGGAAUAUUGGACAAUGGGCGAAAGCCUGAUCCAGCCAUGCCGCGUGUGUGAAGAAGGUCUUCGGAUUGUAAAGCACUUUAAGUUGGGAGGAAGGGCAGUAAGUUAAUACCUUGCUGUUUUGACGUUACCGACAGAAUAAGCACCGGCUAACUCUGUGCCAGCAGCCGCGGUAAUACAGAGGGUGCAAGCGUUAAUCGGAAUUACUGGGCGUAAAGCGCGCGUAGGUGGUUUGUUAAGUUGGAUGUGAAAGCCCCGGGCUCAACCUGGGAACUGCAUCCAAAACUGGCAAGCUAGAGUACGGUAGAGGGUGGUGGAAUUUCCUGUGUAGCGGUGAAAUGCGUAGAUAUAGGAAGGAACACCAGUGGCGAAGGCGACCACCUGGACUGA
rnacentral:rRNA from 1 species